GUGAGUGAUGAUUGGAUGAGAAUUUGAAAGGGCUGUUUGAAUGAUGCUAGAGACAGUUGGCAGAAUUUGGUUUGGAGUGGUUGAUAGUGGAGUUUGGGAGUGGGUGUGAGUUGGUGUGAGAGUUGCUGGUACGUGUGGCAAAAGGGGUAGUUUCUUAAAUUGGAUCAGUCUUGCAUCUUUUGUAGGGCUGGUGAGUGUGGGUCUUGCCCCAUAGGCCCAGUGCAAAUGGCUUUGCAGGGAGCGGCCUUCAUGCCUCACAUUGAUCCUCCUUUCUGUCUUCCACCAAGCACUUCCAUCAGGCUGAUAUCAGGAGCAUCAAAUGAGAUCAGUAGUUCCUAUGCAUCUGCCUUUGCAGAUGGCUCUCUCUUGGAGAGCCAGUGUGGUGUAGUAGUUAAGAGCAGUAGACUCAUAAUCUGGUGAACCGGGUUCGCGUUUCCGCUCCUCCACAUGCAGCUGCCGGGUGACCUUGGGCUAGUCACACUUCUCUGAAGUCUCUCAGCCCCACUCACCUCACAGAGUGUUUGUUGUGGGAGAGGAAGGGAAAGGAGAAUGUUAGCCACUUUGAGACUCCUUCGGGUAGUGAUAAAGCAGGAUAUCAAAUCCAAACUCUUCAUCAUCAUCUGCACGUCAUGUCAGAGCACAGUACUCUGGAUGUUCCCUGCCUCUCAUAGCCAAGUUUCACUUUCUUCUUCCAUUUAGUCUGCGGUUCAGCCUUCUCGCCUCUCAUGCACGCCUGCGCCGGUCUAGAGAUCCUCUGCCUGACAGAGUCUACUAGAGCUAUAAUCCCAUGUAACGCGUCUUCAGCUUGGCAAAGGGAAUUUCGUUGUACCUGCUUUUGCUCUGUAUCUUUAUGCUCCAAAAGCUUAAGUGCAUCGUCAGCUGUUUGUACACUGAGUAAUUAUAAAACCCUUAUUAUUUUUGUUUUGAAUAAAUAAUUGUAUUGCACCACCACAUGCUCCUUAUUGGGUUAUGUUAGGAGCGGAGUAUUCAGGUACAUAUAUCAGUGGGGGCAGCAGAAAUGAGGGGAAAUUAUAUGGAAGACCCAUUUUAAAAACCCCGGUUCAGAGCUGUACAUAUUAUAAAGAAUAACAAGAUUACACAGGGGUGUUUUGGGUAAUGCCAGAAACCGUGCAGCUGGAGUGGUGGUGACAGCCUCCAGAUAUUAUGUCCUAUCCAACAUGGCGAUGGUGGAAGAGGACUAUGCAACUUUUAGGGCAAACUUGCACCCUAGCUACAUUGAUUUAUUUAAAUAAAAUGUGUAGCCUGCCCUCCAGAAAUGCUGGCUGCUGGUAAC